rnacentral:rRNA from 1 species
ACUAAAUAUAACCAUGAGACCGAUAGCAAACAAGUACCGUGAGGGAAAGUUGAAAAGAACUCUGAAUAGAGAGUUAAAUAGUACGUGAAACUGCUUAGAGGUUAAGCCCGAUGAACCUGAAUAUCCGUUGUAGAAAAUUCAUCAUCAAUUGUGUGAUAUUUUUUUAAAAUAUUGUAUCAAUGGUGUGCACUUUUUCUACUUAAGGACAUUGUAAUCCGUUAAUGUUUAAAUGCGUAUUAUAAGAACAUUUACAAUAGUUUUUACAUUAUUUAACUUGUUGAAUAUGUUUAAAUGUGGAUGCUUCGAAUAUGCCAUUGACGGAUUUUUACGUAUAUUGCACUUAAAUCUUUUGAUUUUAUAAUAAUAUGAUUAUCAUUGAUUUUUGUAUUUAUUAUAUGUGCAUAUAUGAUUGACA